GACGAACGUUGGCGGCGUGCCUAAUACAUGCAAGUCAACUGAAGCAAGGUAGCAAUAUCUUGUGGAGGUGGCGCACGGGUGAGUAACACGUAGGUAAUCUGCCUUCAGGUCUGACAUAACUCCGGGAAACCGGAGCUAAUAGCAGAUGAUGCAGCGGCUUGACAUCAAGACAGUUGUUAAAGCUUCGGCGCCUGAAGAUGAGCCUGCGUCUGAUUAGCUAGUUGGCGGAGUAACAGCCCACCAAGGCUACGAUCAGUAACUGGUCUGAGAGGAUGAUCAGUCACACUGGAACUGAGACACGGUCCAGACUCCUACGGGAGGCUG
rnacentral:rRNA from 1 species